UGCCUGGAUUUUUCUAGCUCAUAGCUUCGCCCUGCUAAGAAGCGUGUGUGCUUGUACAAAGGUCGUUCAGCCUCAGGGUUUACACUCGGCUCGACACGGAUAUGUGAAGAAUGCAGGGACCCUGCAGCGAAACGGAGAGCGCAACCUCUGACUGAGUGCCUGUUUUCGCAGUCUGACCACCUGUUGAAGCUAACGUGCUAACAUGGCUAACGCUAGCAUCACCGCACGUAGCCCCGUUAUUUUAAGGGCUGUUUGAUGACGAUUUGGACUCCUCUGGGAGAUGAGGACACACCCACAUCUGUCCCAUACUGCAGCCGUUGAUGGUGUUACAGCUCUGAGGCAGCUUUGGGGCAUCAGAUGCACACACUGGAAAACCAGCACCUGGACUCCAUGCAGGAGAGACGGCCUCAGUGAUUUAGAAUCAGCAGCUGUGGAGAGAUGCAUUUCAAUAUCUUCUGGUUCCACUUUUCCUUACUUGAAAGCUGAGGAUGGCUAAUUCCUGACAAGGACACACCUCAGCACUUAUCAUGGGUGUUACAUCCUCUGUGCAGCAAUUCCAGAGAAAAUGAGAGAGCAACGACCACUCAUUAAGACCAGCCAGAAAUCUGUCCCUUUCUGGCAGCUGUGGAAACUUCCAAUAAGAGAGUUUGCAUUCUUAGAACAAUGCUGGGUCAUGUCUGAUGUGUCAUCAUAUGAGGAUAUUACAUUUUGACUUAAUUCUUCUCAGUUAAGUGUUUUGAUUGUUGAUCCAGUAUUUCAGCUUUGUGUUGUGCUGCAAGUUAAAACUCAUUGUCCUCAUGAGCACAGCAUCUAACAACUCUCCUUAAAAAAGUCGAUUGACUGAACACAAUGGUUUCCAGUGGGAGAUAUAUGCAUCACUCAUCUAUGAUACUGGUGAAGUCACCUGGAUGAGUGAUAAAAUAAUUUGUCCAUGGACAAUCCAGAGGAACUAAACUUUGUUGUUGUUUCUCUGGGCUCAAUUUCAGCCUCAGGAGCAUCUCUCAGAAGAAAACAGUUUUGCAAAUAAUAAGAUAAAAAGAUUGUUGAACCAGGUGGUAUUCUCUGGAGUUUAAGACCAAACUCAAACAGUGAAUCGACAUUAGACAAGUUCAGUAUGACUG